rnacentral:lncRNA from 1 species
GUCGGUGUUAGGCCUCAAGGAGCCUGCCAAGUGCUUGUCUGUGCUGACCUCGACCUGCCUGUGAGGGAUCUGGUUUGUGUUUAUGAAAAUACAGGGGAAAAAAAAGAUGCUGUGAAAGUGAAGAACAUAUUGUUAAGAAUGAGAAUUUCCUGGCAGGCAGUCCUUCGAGGUCAUUUUAAUUUUCCAGACAUCUUCAUCAGCUGUUAUAAACCAAUAGCAGUUAUUACUUGGAAAUGGAAAUUAUUGAAAACGUAUAGAGAAAUUCCAAGGAUCCUGACACUGAGGCUUGUCAUGGCAGCUUCUUUUGUAAACAGUUUGUACAGUGAGUCUAUGCAGAAUCCUACAAAUCCUGUGAAACUAAGGCUGGGGAGAGAAAGAGAAGGAAACCUAUUUUUCAGAGUUCAUGUCUGGACUUGCCAGGUAUAUACAGUUCCACUAAGAAAAAGAAGUCCUGCCCAAAGGGAAGGGUUUGGAGCUUUUCUCUACUGCAGCAACCGCCCGGCUUGCAAACUUGCCUUGGGAGGGGAGCUGAGUGGUGCUCAUAAUGGAGUCCUUCAUACCUCGGAGAGAGCAGCUGCCUCACACUUCAGUGCACACAAACAAAACACCUGCUUAAACCCAGAAAAACCAGUUGGAGACUGCGUUGAUAAGAAGUAGAUGGUGUUCAGUUCUGCUUCUUAAACAGCAAUCUACUUGGUUCUGGCAGCAGGACUGUUCAAAGGAGAAGCAGAACUGCUUUCUUCAGAAGUUCAGCAAACUUUACUGCAGCCAGGGCCCUCACAGAGCAGCGAGGGCCUACCCUAAGGAAGCUGAAUGUUGUUUUACUCCCAUAAGAACAUGUUGUUCCACCUUCUGUUUGUUGAGUCUUUUUCUUAAACCAUAGACACUUGCAAUUUGGUUUCUAGGUAAAAAGAGCUCAUUACAGUGGCUUGUCUCUUAUGAUUCAGAAACCUGAAAUAAAGAUAAUUUAGGCUACA